UUCUGGAAACAUUCGUUGAAAGGCGAAGUUUCCGCGGCACUUACAUUCCAUGAGCACUGUCAUAAUUUCCCGAAAGUCUCUUGGGGAAGCUGGAUUUGGGAGAGGUAUGUUCCGGUCAGACGGUCAAUUACCUGCUGGAGAAUUCUUCAUUAUCGGCUGCCUACGCUCGAUAAUCUCAUUCGCCGUGGUCUAAUCAUGCCUAGCUAUUGUUAUAUUUGUCGGCGGGAUUUGGAGUCUAUUGAUCAUAUUUUCUGGACUUGUGAUGGCGUGAGGGAGAUUUGGACUACGUUUCUCACUUGGUUUAAUGUGGAAUAUCUUCUUGAUUGCGUAGACAUUCAUUCCUUCUUUGUGUGUGCUUGGAAUAUGAACUUCAGCUGCGAGAUUACUAGCUACUGGAAGGCAGGGAUUAUGACGUUGGUUUGGAAAAUCUG
rnacentral:lncRNA from 1 species